AGGGCACAUGGUGGAUGCCUAGGUAGCAAGAGGCGAUGAAGGACGUAGGAGCCUGCGAAAAGCUCCGGCGAGCUGGCAAGCGAGCGCUGACCCGGAGAUGUCCGAAUGGGGAAACCCGACGGUGGUAACACCGUCACUGUAUUACAGAGCCAACGCAGGGAACUGAAACAUCUAAGUACCUGCAGGAAAGGAAAUCAAAUGAGACUCCCUCAGUAGCGGCGAGCGAACGGGGAAGAGCCCAAACCACGCCAGGUUUCUGGGGUGGGGUUGUAGGACGACCAUCAGAUACAGGGAUGGCUAGCAGAAGCACUUGGGAAGGUGCAGCAUAGAGGGUGAUACUCCCGUAUGCGAAAGCUUGAACUGGUCGGUCGUAUCCUGAGUACCCUCGGGCACGGGAAACCCGGGGGGAAUCUGGGGGGACCAUCCUCCAAGGCUAAGUACUCCUUGCUGACCGAUAGUGAACCAGUACCGUGAGGGAAAGGUGAAAAGAACCCCGAGAGGGGAGUGAAAUAGCACCUGAAACCAUGUGCCUACAAACAGUGGGAGCCUUCGGGUGACCGCGUACCUUUUGCAUAAUGAGCCAGCGAGUUGUGAUUCGUGGCUAGGUUAAGCCGUCAGGUGUAGCCGCAGAGAAAUCGAGUCCGAACAGGGCGAUAGUCACGGGUUGCAGACCCGAAGCCAAGCGAUCUACCCAUGGUCAGGGUGAAGCGUUGGUAACACUUCGUGGAGGCCCGAACCCACCAAGGUUGAAAACUUGGGGGAUGAACUGUGGGUAGGAGUGAAAGGCUAAUCAAGCUUGGAAAUAGCUGGUUCUCCCCGAAAGAUAUUUACGUAUCGCGUCGGGUAGCACUGCCGGGGGUAGAGCACUGAAAGGGCUAGGGGGCUUCACCGCUUACCAAACCCUAUCAAACUCCGAAUACCGGCAAGUGACGCACGGCAGGCAGGCUGCGGGAGAUAAGUUUCGUAGCCAAGAGGGAAAGAGCCCAGACUCCCAGCUAAGGUCCCUAAAUCCAUACUAAGUGGUCAAGGAAGUGGGAAAGCCCAGACAACCAGGAGGUUGGCUUAGAAGCAGCCACCCUUUAAAGAAAGCGUAAUAGCUCACUGGUCAAGUUUUUCUGCGCCGUAAAUAUAACGGGGCUAAGUAUGGUACCGAAGCUGGAGACUUCGUAAGAAGUGGUAGGGGAGCGUUCCAUGGGGGAUGAAGGCGAAGCGCGAGCGACGCUGGACUGCAUGGAAGUGAGAAUGCUGGCAUGAGUAACGAUAAAGCGGGUGAAAAACCCGCUCGCCGAAAACCCCAGGGUUCCUGUCCAAGGAUCAUCCGGGCAGGGUUAGUCGGCCCCUAAGGUGUAGCCGAAAGGCGUAGCCGAUGGGAACCAGGUUAAUAUUCCUGGACCACCAAUAGAUAGCAGAGCAGGGACGGAGAAGGGUAGGUCAGCCGGUGAUUGGAUUCCGGUACAAGCCUGUAGGCUGUCUGCGUAGGAAUAAAACGCGCGGACAAAGCCGAGAGGUGAUGUGGAAACUGAUCGAUCCCAUGCUUCCAAGAAAAGCUGCGGGCUGCGUUUUGUUUAUUGGUGACCGUACCGCAAACCGACUCAGGUGGGUAGGUGGAGAACACUAAGGCGCUCGAGAGAACACUGGUUAAGGAACUAGGCAAAUUAGCACUGUAACUUCGGGAUAAGGUGUGCCACACGGGUGUAGGUCUUCGCGACCGAAGCUCUAAGUGGUUGCAACAAAGCGGUGGUAGCGACUGUUUACUAAAAACACAGGACUCUGCGAAAGCGCAAGCUGACGUAUAGGGUCUGACGCCUGCCCGGUGCUGGAAGGUUAAGAGGAGUUGUUAGCUUCGGCGAAGCUGCGAAUCGAAGCCCCAGUAAACGGCGGCCGUAACUAUAACGGUCCUAAGGUAGCGAAAUUCCUUGUCGGGUAAGUUCCGACCUGCACGAAUGGCGUAACGACUUCCACGCUGUCUCGACCAGUGACUCGGUGAAAUUGACAUUGGGGUGAAGAUGCCCCAUACCCGCAGCCAGACGGAAAGACCCUGUGAACCUUUACUGUAGCUUGCCAGUGGCAUUCGACUCAAGCUGUGUAGGAUAGGUGGGAGCCUAUGAAUUCGGCGCGCUAGCGUCGUUGGAGGCGUCCUUGAAAUACCACCCUGUUUGUGUUGGCUGCCUAACCUCUUCGGAGGGACACUGGCUGGUAGGCAGUUUGACUGGGGCGGUCGCCUCCCAAAGUGUAACGGAGGCGCGCAAAGGUCCCCUCAGCCUGAACGGAAACCAGGCGUAGAGUGCAAUGGCAUAAGGGGGCUUGACUGUGAGACCGACGGGUCGAACAGGUUGGAAACAAGGCCAUAGUGAUCCGGUGGUUCCGCAUGGAAGGGCCAUCGCUCAACGGAUAAAAGGUACUCCGGGGAUAACAGGCUUAUCGCGCCCAAGAGUUCAUAUCGACGGCGCGGUUUGGCACCUCGAUGUCGGCUCAUCGCAUCCUGGGGCUGGAGCAGGUCCCAAGGGUAUGGCUGUUCGCCAUUUAAAGCGGUACGCGAGCUGGGUUUAGAACGUCGUGAGACAGUUCGGUCCCUAUCUGCUGUGGGCGUAAGAGUGUUGAGAGGAGCUGUCCUUAGUACGAGAGGACCGGGAUGGACACACCUCUGGUGUUUCGGUUGUCGCGCCAGCGGCAUUGCCGAGUAGCUACGUGUGGAAAGGAUAACCGCUGAAAGCAUCUAAGCGGGAAGCCUCCCUCAAGAUGAGCACUCUCUAAGGACCCAAGAAGACUACUUGGUUGAUAGGUGCGAGGUGUAAGCACAGCAAUGUGUUCAGCUGACGCACACUAAUUGUCCGUUUGACUUUCCU
rnacentral:rRNA from 1 species